rnacentral:piRNA from 1 species
UGAGAUUUUGCUUACAAUUAG